rnacentral:rRNA from 1 species
ACCGGCGCACGGGUGAGUAACGCGUAUCCAACCUGCCCUUUACUCCGGGAUAGUCUCCUGAAAGGGAGUUUAAUACCGGAUGUGUUUGUCUUUCCGCAUGGGAGCGACAAAUAAAGAUUAAUUGGUAAAGGAUGGGGAUGCGUCCCAUUAGCUAGUUGGCGGGGUAACGGCCCACCAAGGCGACGAUGGGUAGGGGUUCUGAGAGGAAGGUCCCCCACAUUGGAACUGAGUCACGGUCCAAACUCCUACGGGAGGCAGCAGUGAGGAAUAUUGGUCAAUGGGCGGGAGCCUGAACCAGCCAAGUAGCGUGAAGGACGACGGCCCUACGGGUUGUAAACUUCUUUUAUAAGGGAAUAAAGUUCGCCACGUGUGGUGUUUUGUAUGUACCUUAUGAAUAAGCAUCGGCUAAUUCCGUGCCAGCAGCCGCGGUAAUACGGAAGAUGCGAGCGUUAUCCGGAUUUAUUGGGUUUAAAGGGAGCGUAGGCGGGCUUUUAAGUCAGCGGUCAAAUGUCGUGGCUCAACCAUGUCAAGCCGUUGAAACUGUAAGCCUUGAGUCUGCACAGGGCACAUGGAAUUCGUGGUGUAGCGGUGAAAUGCUUAGAUAUCACGAAGAACUCCGAUCGCGAAGGCAUUGUGCCGGGGCAUAACUGACGCUGAGGCUCGAAAGUGCGGGUAUCAAACAGG